GGGAGGGGAUGGCACCCAAGGGCAAACCAGGCACGUUCCCUGCUCAGGCCUUUCCCCUUCAGGAGGAUGUGGUGUGCAAGAGCCCCUCGCUGAAGCACAGCGGGUUUGGGAGCCUGGGCCAUCCCCACCAUCAUCUCUCCCAGCUGCUGUUUUCCCAGUUUUCCUACCCCAGCUGGGAACCCCAGCAUUCCACUGGGGCAGAUGGGAUCUCAGGUGACGCACUAGGGGAUGUCACCCAGGCUGGCUGUGCGUUUCUCCCCGUUCCCAAAGGUGGCCAGAAGGGUUUGUCACCCGCCCAGGACCGGCCGUGCCACCGGGGACAUGAAGCAGCCUGUUUGUUCCUGUCACACCUUCACGGUUUCGGGUGUCAGCAGCGGCGCUGAGUCAAACCUGGGGCACGGCAGAAACCACCUGCCCUGGCAGCCACGAGGCAGCAGGGAUGUCACCACAUGGCUGUCACACUGUGGGGCAAUUACCACUGCAGUGCAACGCUGUCCUCCCACGCCCCGGCGCUGCCCACACGGAAUUCCAGCUGCCCUCACAGAAUUCCAGCUGCUCUCACGGAAUUCCAGCUGCUCACAGCCAUCCUGUGCACGGACACACCCUGUGGAAGGGCUAAGGCUGCUCGCACCCAGCCUCUGCAGAGAGAGAAGCCCAAGGAUCCACCUUAAAGCUUUGGUAUCUCUCACUGCAAUCAGACACCUGGAAAGACAAAAUCAGUUUACAUUUGUGUACGGCUGGUUUGAAGAGGAGCUUGCACGGCCUGCAGAGCUCCAGGCCAAAGGCUCCAGGAGAAGCAGGCUCGUUAAUGUCUCAUCAUGACUCAAGCAGCAAUUAUUGAUUGAUGCUAUUUUCCAGCAGUGUCCUGGCAACAGAGGGGACAAGGCACUGCUCGUCCUUAUCGAGCUCAAAAACACUCACGUAAAAACAUCAAGGAUUGGUUAAAAACGGGUUGAGCUGCGUAAGGAGAGCAAGUACAAAUCUCUCCAGCUUUUUGAAAUAUCAAAGGGUAACCUGGAAAACUGGAGUGCGUUAAAAGCAAUAAAUGAUGGGUGUGUGCAUGGAAAAAAAAAAAAAAAGGGCAAAUUCCACUGCGCUGACA